ACACUGUACGAGUUUGAUCCUGGCUCAGGAUGAACGCUAGCGGCAGGCCUAACACAUGCAAGUCGAGGGGUAUAGUUCUUCGGAACUAGAGACCGGCGCACGGGUGCGUAACGCGUAUGCAAUCUACCUUUUACAGGGGAAUAGCCCAGAGAAAUUUGGAUUAAUGCCCCAUAGUGUUAUAGAAUCGCAUGGUUUAUAACUAAAGUUCCAACGGUAAAAGAUGAGCAUGCGUCCCAUUAGUUAGUUGGUAAGGUAACGGCUUACCAAGACAAUGAUGGGUAGGGGUCCUGAGAGGGAGAUCCCCCACACUGGUACUGAGACACGGACCAGACUCCUACGGGAGGCAGCAGUGAGGAAUAUUGGACAAUGGGCGCAAGCCUGAUCCAGCCAUACCGCGUGCAGGAAGACGGUCCUAUGGAUUGUAAACUGCUUUUGUACAGGAAGAAACACUCCCUCGUGAGGGAGCUUGACGGUACUGUAAGAAUAAGGAUCGGCUAACUCCGUG
rnacentral:rRNA from 1 species